rnacentral:rRNA from 1 species
UACAGAGGUCUCAAGCGUUGUUCGGAUUCAUUGGGCGUAAAGGGUGCGUAGGUGGCGGGGUAAGUCAGGUGUGAAAUCUCGGGGCUCAACCCCGAAACUGCACUUGAUACUGCCUUGCUCGAGUACUGGAGAGGAGAUUGGAGUUUACGGUGUAGCAGUGAAAUGCGUAGAUAUCGUAAGGAAGACCAGUGGCGAAGGCGAAUCUCUGGACAGUUACUGACACUGAGGCACGAAGGCCAGGGGAGCAAACGGG